AGUGAACGCUGGCGGUAGGCCUAACACAUGCAAGUCGAACGGCAUCACCGUAAUUGCUUGCUCUUACGGGUGGCGCGUGGCGGACGGUUGAUUAUUACUUCGGAAUCUACUUUUUCGUUGGUGCUAACGUAGGGAAACUUACGCUAAUACCGCAUACGUCCUCCUUGUGAAAGCAGGGGAUCUUCGGACCUUUCGCGAUUGUAUGAGCCGAGGUCGGAUUAGCUCGGUGGCGGGGUAAAGGCCCACCCAGGCGACGCUCGGUAGGUGGUCUGAGAGCGUCAUCAGCCACACUGGAAGUGAGAAACAGUACAGACUCCGACAGGAGGCAGCAGUGGGGAAUAUUAGACGAUGGGGGAAAGCCGGAUCCAGCCAAACCGCGUGGGUGAAGAAGGAGUUAUGGUGGGAGAACCCUGAAGUUGGGAAAGAAAAGCAGCAGUUUAAUAGCGCGCGGUAAUGACGGUACCCAAAGAAUAAGCACCGGCUAACUUCGUG
rnacentral:rRNA from 1 species